AGAAAGUGCCCAUUCCCCAAUAAUUUGAAAGUCUUGGGAGGUGAAAAUCAGUGGACCAACUUGAAUGAGGUGCUAGGCUCCGAUCCAGUCCCUGAAGUUAGAAAACUGUAUUUUGAUUGGCCAGACUUGGGUCAUGUGCCUGUCCUGCAGCCGGAUGCUACCAGAACCACACCCAACCACAAGGACCAAGAGUAGGAGAGAGUAGAUGACUCUCCAAAGGAAAAACAGUGUUGGCCAAGAAGCUAGGAAGUGAGUGCUGCAGGCUGCAACCACAGCUCAUCAGCAGGCAGCUAAGGGCUUUCCCAAGGGUAGGAACAUUGUGGGCAGAAGAAAUGGCACAUGCAGAACUUAGAAGCAAGGAAAAGCUUUGGUGUGGAGCCGGGCUUCAGGCCUAGGGUGUUGAGAUUCCUUACCUAGGAUUCUUUUUCUCUCUUUUUUUGUAGUGGGGAUUGAACCCAGGAACUACAUCUUCAGUCUUUAUUUAUUUAGUAGUUCUGAGGAUUGAACCCAGGGAGUCUCUGCCACUGAAAUUAUGUCCCCAGCCCUUAUUUUAAUUUUAAGACAGGAUCUCACUGAGUUGCUAUGAGUCUCACUAAGUUGCUGAGGCUGGUCUUGAAAUCGUGAUCCUCCUGCCUUCACCUCCCAAGUCACUGGGAUUACAGGUGUGUACCAAACCAUUGGGCCAGUUUAGGAUAGAAGUUCUCAAUGAGUACCAAACAAUAGAUUACUAUUUGGUGCCUGUUGUCAUCCUGUGAGCACAUAUAUAUUUGAUACCUUCCC
rnacentral:lncRNA from 1 species